AUAUUCUAGCAAAGCCAAGUAAAUCUAAUUUUUAAGAAUUAUUCAAUAAAGGUACAGCUUUAUUGAAAAAGGAAACAACCUAAACCUUAGGAUAAUGAAUAUUUUUAAAUAGGUAAAAGGCCAAGUUGGCCUAAAAGCAGCCAUCUUUAAAGAUAGCGUCAAAGCUUCACCUUAAACACACCUUAAAUCUCAUUAUUUUUUUCAUAAUCCAACAAUUCUACUAAGCCAUUCUAUACUUUUAUAGAAAAGUUUAUGUUAGGACUAGUAACACAGAAUAAUUUCUCUUACAUGUAAGUUUAAAUCAACCCGAAUACCUCCUUGAUAAUUACUCAAAUUUGAACCUUAAGUAGUACCUAUCAAUUACAAAAACCCUACUUAACUUAUUGUUAAUCAAACAUAUGGAUAUGAAAGAAAGAUUAAAAAAUUAAGAAGGAACUCGGCAAACACAAGUCCCGCCUGUUUACCAAAAACAUCGCCUUUUGAAAAGUAUAAAAGGUAACGCCUGCCCACUGACAAUAUGUUUAACGGCCGCGGUAUUCUGACCGUGCGAAGGUAGCGUAAUCACUUGUCUUUUAAAUGAAGACUCGUAUGAAAGGCAUCACGAGAACUUAGCUGUCUCCUUAAUUCAAUCAGUGAAACUGAUAUCCCUGUAAAAAAGCAGGGAUGAUAACAUAAGACGAGAAGACCCUGUGGAGCUUAAAACAUAAACUACUUCUAUACUCUACUAACUUAUAGUACUAAAAUACAAACCUAGCCUAAGUUUUCUGUUGGGGCGGCUGUGGAGAAAAACUUAUCCUCCAUGAAGAAAAAACUUUGAUCUACCGCUCUUAGUAUUAGCAAGCCUAACUUAAAUUGAUCCAAUUUUUGAUCAACGGACCAAGUUACCCCAGGGAUAACAGCGCAAUCCAUUUCAAGAGUCCCUAUCGACAAAUGGGUUUACGACCUCGAUGUUGGAUUAG
rnacentral:rRNA from 1 species